AUUGAACGCUGGCGGCAUGCUUUACACAUGCAAGUCGGACGGCAGCACAGAGAAGCUUGCUUCUUGGGUGGCGAGUGGCGAACGGGUGAGUAAUAUAUCGGAACGUACCGAGUAAUGGGGGAUAACUAAUCGAAAGAUUAGCUAAUACCGCAUAUUCUCUGAGGAGGAAAGCAGGGGACCUUCGGGCCUUGCGUUAUUCGAGCGGCCGAAAUCUGAUUAGCUAGUUGGUGGGGUAAAGGCCUACCAAGGCGACGAUCAGUAGCGGGUCUGAGAGGAUGAUCCGCCACACUGGGACUGAGACACGGCCCAGACUCCUACGGGAGGCAGCAGUGGGGAAUUUUGGACAAUGGGCGCAAGCCUGAUCCAGCCAUGCCGCGUGUCUGAAGAAGGCCUUCGGGUUGUAAAGGACUUUUGUCAGGGAAGAAAAGGCUGUUGCUAAUAUCAAGAGCUGAUGACGGUACCUGAAGAAUAAGCACCGGCUAACUACGUG
rnacentral:rRNA from 1 species